rnacentral:rRNA from 1 species
AGUGAACGCUGGCGGUAGGCCUAACACAUGCAAGUCGAACGGCAGCACAGUAAGAGCUUGCUCUUACGGGUGGCGAGUGGCGGACGGGUGAGGAAUACAUCGGAAUCUACUUUUUCGUGGGGGAUAACGUAGGGAAACUUACGCUAAUACCGCAUACGACCUACGGGUGAAAGCAGGGGAUCUUCGGACCUUGCGCGAUUGAAUGAGCCGAUGUCGGAUUAGCUAGUUGGCGGGGUAAAGGCCCACCAAGGCGACGAUCCGUAGCUGGUCUGAGAGGAUGACACACCACACGGAAAAAGAGAGACGGACCAGCCCCCUAGGGGGGCAAGCAGUGGGAAUUGUGGAACAGGGGGCGCAGGUUGCAACAACCCUUCCGGGGGGGGUAAAAACGGCCUGGGGUUGUAAAACCCUUUUGUUGGGAAAAAAAAAGAAACGGGUAACUCCCCGUUUGUUAGGACGGUACCAAAAGAAGACGCCGCAGCUGCCUUCGU